rnacentral:misc_RNA from 1 species
AUGAUAGCUUUAUCGUACAUGGAACUCAUUCUUGCAGCUCUUGGACUAUAAUCUCUGCUCUUCAGUUUUCUCAUUAUCAAUUGACAGUCUCCUCUUACAAGAAUUUCAUAAUCAUCAUUAUUAUUAUCAUUAGCGUAGCCGUUUUCUACUAGCCAUUCCAUAGCCUUUAUUGCACUACCAUAUUCAGCA